CGUGAGUAACCGGGCGUCCGGUGGGGGAUAUCGGGCCGAAAGGCGCGGCAAUCCCGCAUGCGCCCCGGGCGGCGCCAGCCGCCGGGGGGAAAGGCCUUCGGGUCGCCGGACGGGGGGCUCGCGGCCCAUUAGCUAGUUGGGGGGGUAACGGCCUCCCAAGGCGACGAUGGGUAGCCGGCCUGAGAGGGUGAUCGGCCACACUGGGACUGAGACACGGCCCAGACUCCUACGGGAGGCAGCAGUAGGGAAUCUUCCACAAUGGGCGCAAGCCUGAUGGAGCAACGCCGCGUGAGUGAAGACGGCCUUCGGGUUGUAAAGCUCUGUCUGUCGGGACGAGGACCGCGCCGGAUGGCGCGGGGGGACGGUACCGGCGGAGGAAGCCCCUGCAAACUACGUGCCAGCAGCCGCGGUAAGACGUAGGGGGCAAGCGUUGUCCGGAAUUACUGGGCGUAAAGGGCGUGUAGGCGGUUGCGCACGUAGCGGUUUUCAGCCGUCGGCUCACCCGACGGAGGGCGGCUAAACGGCGCAGCUCGAGGGCAGGAGAGGUGCAUGGAAUUCCUGGUGGAGCGGUGAAAUGCGUAGAGAUCAGGAAGAACACCGGUGGCGAAGGCGGUGCACUGGCCUGGCCCUGACGCUGAGGCGCGACAGCGUGGGGAGCGAACGGGAUUAGAUACCCCGGUAGUCCACGCCGUAAACGAUGGAUACGAGGUGUCGCGGGGGUCCACCUCGCGGUGCCGGAGCUAACGCACUCAGUAUCCCGCCUGGGGAGUACGGCCGCAAGGUUGAAACUCAAAGGAAUUGACGGGGGCCCGCACAAGCAGUGGAGCAUGUGGUUUAAUUCGACGCAACGCGCAGAACCUUACCAGGGCUAGACGGGACCGUGAGCCGCGCGAAAGCGCGGGGCUGCUUCGGCAGAGCGGUCGUCAGGUGCUGCAUGGUUGUCGUCAGCUCGUGUCGUGAGAUGUUGGGUUAAGUCCCGCAACGAGCGCAACCCUCGUCGGCUGUUGCCAGCGAUUCGGUCGGGCACUCAGCCGAGACAGCCGGGGACGACCCGGAGGAAGGUGGGGAUGACGUCAAAUCCGCAUGGCCUUGAUGUCCUGGGCUACACACGUGCUACAAUGGCGCCGACAACGGGCCGCGACCUCGCGAGGGGGAGCGAAUCCUUCAAAGCGGCGUCUCAGUUC
rnacentral:rRNA from 1 species